GGCGGGGCCUGGAAGGACGGGGGCGCCUCCAAGGACCGGAAUCCUUGGGCUUCAAAGAGCGCCCAGUGCCUCAGUUAGCAGCUCUUCACAGACUCACAAUGGAUGGGAUGAAGCAAAAAGUUCUACUCGAAGGCACCCCAGUGAUAAGCUGCCAAUACUUUCAGCAAAUCAGGGUGGAAAACAGACAAAGAGGCUAAGGAAGAGUUUUUGUGUCUCUUGGAGUCAUUUAUCCAUUAAUGUGCAUUUAUUUAGCACCCACUGUGUUUCAGACACUGUCUACCUAAAGUCACUGGUAUAUUCGCCAGAAAAAGCGGAGGAGCAUGAUUAGAUGACAUUGUCACAAAGAUGGACUCCCACCACCUUCUCCCUGAGCUGCCCCGCUCAGCUCUCAUCCAACAAAAUUCCUUCCUUCACCCUGUCCUCCUCAAGGACCCUCCUGUCUUCUGCCCUUCAUGCUUAGCAAAUCGAGACUUGAACUCACAAAAGCAUCCAUAACUAAAGCAUAGGUAACACAUCGGAAGUGCUGGCUUUUAAACUGCAGAUGAAACCAGAGCAGGGUAGAAGUGGGAAGGAAUUUCCGGGAUGGUUGGGGGUACCAAGCACAUCCAGCGCCAUCUGGAGCAACCAGCCCAGCCCAGAUGCAUUGUGCCUUUGCCGGAGAGCCUUAUCAGGGCUUGUGUAAGAAACAAAGAAAACCAUAGAAAAGAUCAAUGAAACAAAAAGCUGGUUCUUUGAAAAGAUCAACAAAAUUGAUAAACCCCUAGCCAGAUUUAUCAAAUCAAUAAAAUUUAGAAAUGAAAAAGGAGAAUAACGGAC
ensembl:lncRNA uncharacterized LOC110261163